rnacentral:rRNA from 1 species
AGCAGUCGCCGCGGGAAUACGAAGGGGGCUAGCGUUGUUCGGAAUUACUGGGCGUAGAGCGCACGUAGGCGGAUAUUUAAGUCAGGGGUGAAAUCCCAGAGCUCAACUCUGGAACUGCCUUUGAUACUGGGUAUCUUGAGUAUGGAAGAGGUUAGUGGAAUUGCGAGUGUAGAGGUGAAAUUCGUAGAGAUCGGAAGGAACAUCUGUGGCGAAGGCGACUAUCUGGGCCAACACUGACACUGAGACGCGAAAGCGUGGGGAGCAAACAGGAUUAGAUACCCGAGUAGUCCCUGUCUCUUAUAC